AGUUUGUGACCUCGCCGGGGAAGAUCUGGGACCAGGACAAGCAGGGUCUCCUGAAGAACCUCG
rnacentral:ribozyme from 1 species